CAUGGAGUCCACGCCACAGAUGUUUCGGCCCCUGCAGAUUUUGUAGAAUCCAUUCUCUCCCCAGUUCUCUCCCCAGGAGUUCUUGAUGAUCCAGUAUGGCUUUUCCUUCAAUCUGAUGGGAGAAUAUCCAGCUGCACCGUAACCUACGAGUAACACCCCGUGAUCCAACCGCUUUGAGCAUAUGUAGGGGCAUGAAACUCCACCAACAUAAGUUUGCAUGAACACCGCGUUAAUAGCCACUGCACUCGAACAACGGAAAAUCGUUAACACCAGCCAAUCCUAACCACUAUUAGAGCUUAUGCCAACAUCUUUAACGUAACGCUCUGAAAUUUCACGAUGAACAUAUGAAUAACAAACUACUUAUUAACAGAAAGGGAAAGAAACAAAAUUACAAAUUUCUAAAGUUCUAAGUACCUGCAAGAGGACCAUUUUUCACAAGGUUGGCAGCAAUUUGAUCCUCAUCGAGGGAGACAACGCUGAAAUUGGAAACUGAUGCUGCGAUUUUGCUCUCGUCAAAUUUGCAGGUUCCACGAUCAGUACCAGUGUAUGGAUAAUCCUCUUCCUUCAUUAGUCCACCAGCUUUGAGUGUGUACUCAAAGGCACUGUUCAUGAGUCCACCAUUGCAUCCGGAGUCACAUGAACCUGCCUCCUCUGGAUCACACUGCACAAUGUUCAGAAGGAACGCGUAAGAAACAGCAAUUUAAGGAAAAAUCCUCUCAGUAGGAGUCAUCAUAGAAUGAUUGCAAAAGUCAAGCAGUUCUAUUGCUCAAUAACAAGCAUCAUUCAUUAUGUACUACUACGAAACACAAACACAAGAACUUGAUAACACCAUUCGACAUGCAUUCCUAAUGUAUUAUCAAAGACAACAAAUUGCAACACAUGUAGAAUGAGAACGGUGCUUCAUAAGCAGGAGCGCAUACAUUUCAUCAACGCUGGUUAAAAACAAGAACCACUUCUGUUUCAAAUCCUUCAACACAAUAAGCAAACAACAACCAUUGACCUUUUAGAUCCAAAUGAAACUUAUACAUAUCACAAUCUUAAUAAAUCCAAGACAAAACCCGCCAUGAAUUGUGAUAAACAAAUUAAAACCAAGCAACGCCCGGUUAAAGUAUUCAACAAUCAUGUCACUCCUGAACUCAACACAGAACAGACUAAUACUCACCAACAAUAAGGUUAUAAAUACAACAGAUAUAACAAACAGCAGACACCAAUCACAUCAUAAAGACCAUAUUUCCUGCAACUUAUAAACCAAAUUUUUAGCUAAAUCCUUACAAUUUCAACCUUUUUCCAUUCUCCUUGUGACAAGUGUUGAGACUUCAGACACCGUCUCAGGGUAUGUUAUAAAUGCAACCAAAAAGUUCAAGUUUGUGCCCUUCACUACUGCCAGACAAAAACAAAGUAUAUUUGAGGAAGAUAACUAUUCGUCCUCAUCCAGAUUCCAUGUGGGGCCUCCACAUGCAGACCACAAUUACAAAUUAUUUGAACAAAACAAUUGUAACAAAUAUUCUGACACAAACCCAAAAGAAUUUGCCAAUCAAAAUCGAACAAAAUCAACCAAUCGAAAUCCCCAAAAUAUAUACAAACUAAUAAAAACGCCCAAUUCUUCAUACAGCAGAAACACACCAAAUAAAACAAAAAGAAAAAGAAGCAGUCAAACCUCAUGAUCGCAAUCCACAAGCUGCUGCUCGCUGAGGCUCACAAGAUCUCCAGUUGCGAGAAAGUGUGCACCUUCCAACGCUCCUGUAGUACUGAAACUCCAGCACGAUCCGCACGAACCCUAAUUUCCAAAAAAAAAAAACACCCCGAAUAUCCCAAUCAAUAAACAGAUACCUUAAAGUUAAGUUACAAAAAAAUUACUAAAAAUAAAAAGAAUAAAAGACCUGAUUUUUAACGGCGGUGACGGCUCCAUGCUCCCUCCAAUCAAAAUCCUCAGGCAGAUUCUCCGUCGGGAGAAUCGGAGCCUUGGUGGCGUCCUCGGGCAGCUUCAGCCCUCUGAGUCCGAGUUGACUUUUCCGGAACUCGGCAGGGGUCAUAUCGGAGAACCGAGUCACGCCGUGCUGAGCCGAGGGGUCGAGCCGCUGGUGGCGCGCGGCACGGCGGAGGUUCGCCUUGAACACGUCGAACCUGUAGUCGUGCUCCUCCUUGCUCGCGUACGACUUGCCGUAUUUGUGCUUGAAGAGCGAGAAGUGGUGCUCGGCCCCGAGAACGUGGUCGUGGUCGUGGUCGUGGUGGGACUCAUCGCCGCCGUCCACCACUUGCCUGAUCAGGGGAUCUGCGCUGUCCGAUUGCGCACGCGAGACGAUCAGGAGAGAGAAAGUGACGAGGAGAGAGAGAAUGCGUUCCAUUGUUGAACAGCAGAGGCCGAUUGGUAGCCCCCCGGAGGACUUGGCUUGGUUUAUAAAGUCGACGAGGACCUGAAGUGUUUAAUCCUAUGCGGUCGGGUUUAAGCAUAAAAGAGAACACAACCGUUGAAAAAUGAAACCUAGUAAUGAUUGAACGAAAGCGACGGUGAUGAUGUGCGGGAGUUUAGGAGUGUGGUGUAGAUAAUGGAUUUUAGUGGGGUUUGCUUACGGGAGCGGGUAAUGUGUGGCCGAAUCACAAGGCGGCACGUGGAGGGGGGGGAUUGUGUGGAGUGUUGGAUUUGAAUGGUAGUUGGAUAAUGCCAUUGUUUGUUUGGCUUUGAAAUUUGAUGGGGGAUGGUUAUUUUGUUUGUUUUCUUGUUGGAGAAAAUAACGAGAAGCCGAAUAAGGGAAAGAUGCCGAUUAUGAUGUUUUGCAAAUAUUUAAAUGAUUUAUUUUGGAAAUAUGAUUUUUAGAUGAUGAUAAAAAAAAAUAAUGAUUUUCAUUAUAAUAUUCGAAUUAUAAAAAUUCAUAAAUGGUGAGCGAAUGGACAAUUAGAUCUCACAUGAGGAAAUACAAGCAUUAUCCUUCUUGUAAGGAGGUUUGUUUUCAAUGUCACCCGUUGAUGGAUGUCAAUCUCUUACGUGUGUGAUCUAAUUAUGUAUGUGAGACGCACAAUUGUAAAUUUGUACACAUCAAUCCCGGAUGAUGAUUGUUGUGUACAUAAUGUUAUCUUUGAGAAUAAAAUAUAAAAGUUGAUAACAAAGUACAUGAUUUAAGUAAAUAACUAUAAGAAAUUAGAAUUUUUUUUGGAAAUUUAUUUCAGAAUAAUCGGAAUUGCUAAAUGCAUUCCAAUUUUUGUUACAAUUGUUUGGAAAAUAUUCAGGUUUAGAAUUUUUAGUUCUUCGGAGAUUUUACUAUCAGAAAUCGGUGACCUACUCCAACUUGCACCCCUAAAAAUGGAAGUUGGAUUGGGAUUUCUAGGUACGGUAAGUCUGCAUAACAUGUAAUAACCGUAGUUUACGAUUAUGAGGUCAUGAACAGUUAGGGUGGUUUGUUUUGUUUGAGUUGAUGGGCUAUCAAGAACGGCAAAACAUGGUCUGUAUGUUGCUUGCAAUCCAACAGGAUUUUGGUGCCCAAGUUACAAUUAUAUUAUUUUUGUUAUGGAACAAACAUAUUCUAGCUGUUAUUCUACAUUUUUGGACUUGGUUUUAAGAAAGUUUGGAAGCCUUCAAAGAACGUUUGGGGUAGAACGAAACAGUAACACAGUACUAACACUAAUUAUUCAUUACACUUAUUUAUGUUGAGAGGGAGAGAAAUUUUGUUAUGCGUUAUUCUGACCAGUUGAUUAUUUGACUUGAUAAACAUUCCAUCUAAUUGCUAACAAGUUCAAUCCAUCUAGCACUCCAACUCAUAAAUGUUAGCAAUUAGAUAUAUACAUACAAAUGAUAAUGAGUUACAAGUAUCAAACAAAAUAUUAUGGCAUGUUUGUUAAUAACCAAGAGUAUGAUUCUCAUUCAUGCAUGUGUUUACUAACAACCAAGAAAUGAAAAACAAUAAAUGCAUAUGGGUAAUUUCAUGCUUUUAUAAAAUUUGAAAAAAUAACCAAAAUUUAGACCCAUAUACAAUUAUAGUCACUCUUUUAAGUUUAUAAAAAUUAUAACAAAAAACUGAUAUGAAAGUACUAAAAUGAGAACCAAAAAGCAAAAAUAAAAUUAAAAUGGGAAUCGCCUCCCUCUAAACCUCAAAGCCCACCUCCUUCUCAAAAAAUAUAGAUUAAUUCUGCUGCUCUUUUUCGGCGUUGUCAUCUUCCUCCUCUUUUUGGUCGUCCAUGUUACAUCACUCGCCCACAAGGUAGGGGAGGUUGGUCAAUGGAUCUCCAAUGCCUAAGUCAACAUCUCUGAGUAUAGUGAUUGUGUUUCAGUGUAACAUAGAUUAUUUAAGUUGAUACCUUAAUCUACCAUAAUAUUAAACUGACUGACUCGUGAAAAAGGAUCUUCAAAUGAGGACAUUAAGAGAACAGUUAUGUAUGUGAAUAUAAUCUCAAUUGUGAUGGGAGAGAUCUGAAGUUGGAUGCAUAGAGGAGCACAUGGGCUUUAAUCACAACAUAAUUGUGCCUGCAUUUGCAACUGGAAGAAAGUGUUAAAGAAGUCAAAGCAUCUAGCCAACGAACGCGACUGUAGUGUGUUCGAAGUUUAAUUUUUAAUUUUGGUACAAGAUAUAUAAUUUACAUGAUAUUUAAGUAGUUCAGAUCUAUCCGCUAAAUUCGUCAGUCAAGAUCCAAUAGCUAAUCUACUGACUGUAGUGUGUACAUGACUAACAUGUCUAUAUAUAUAUUAUGUGCAGUUCAAUACCAAAUACUACUAUGUGGUUGGAAUUGGCCACACUGAGCGGAAGUUCUGGUUUAUUACUCCUGAAGUUGGUCCGGACGCCACUUACACCUUUGGACUCAUAGGUGAGUGUUUUGUAUCAGAAUAGGAUGCAUCCUAAAGUGAUGUAGCUACUUAGAUUUGGUUCAACUUGUAGAAUUGGGAUCCAAAGAAAAUUUCAUGCUAUGUACUAGUUUGAGGUUGUUGCAAUGUGCCUCUUCCAUUCAUCUCGAAAGAUGGGAAACCAAAUUAUAAUUCUUCAUCUUAUGAAACUUGUACUCUGGUAUAUGUGCAACUCCGUAAAUUGGAAGAGUUUGCCUUAACUUGGGAACUGAAUAAUGAAGAGACUCAACUGUUAGUGUUUUGCGAUGUAAAUUGCUGGGCUCUGGUGUGUUUGCUUACAUCUAAUAUCAUUUGCAGGGGAUCUGGGACAGACCUAUGACUCAAAUAAGACACUUACUCAUUACGAGUUAAACCCGCGGAAAGGACAAGCUGUACUGUUUGUUGGGGACCUCUCUUAUGCAGAUCAGUACCCAAAUCAUGACAAUGUCAGGUGGUAUACUUGGGGAAGAUUCGUCGAGAGAAGUGUUGCUUAUCAAUCUUGGAUAUGAACUGCAGGGAAUUAUGAAAUCGAUUUUGCCCCGGAAAUUGAAAGCUUCUCAUAACGCAUUAGAGUUGAUCUUACAAUCUUAUUUGUCAUUUCUCGCUUGGAUAAGAUCAUCUUCUUUUUCAAGUUUAUCAUUUAGUAUAAUGAUCCUUUGCUGCUCAUGUUUUAUAAAUUUACAACUCCCAAAAAUUUGAUUGCGUGAAGUAAUUUUCUGAAGAAGAUUUGCGCUUUUGUUGCAGGGUGAAACCAAACCUUUUAAGCCUUGCAGUCACCGGUAUCAUGUCCCAUAUGAAUCAUCUGGGAGUACUUCCCCCUUCUGGUAUUCGAUCAAGAGAGCUUCGGCAUACAUCAUAGUCUUGUCUUCUUAUUCCGCAUAUGGUAAGGAUAGGCAUACACACACAUACACAUAGGUUUUUCGCUUAAUUUAUUCAAAAGAUGCACAAGGCAUAUGCAUGUAUAUAGCGGAAAAAAAAAGCUUAGCAGUUACAAAAAAAAUUUCUCUGAAUGUCACAUGAAUAACUAUGGCAUCUGUAUAAUUUUUAUAAUUGUCGUAAUGAGAUAAACAGAUAAAGUCAUAUCACUCCUCUUUUGUACCAUGUUGUAUGUACCUUAAAGUUAAUUCGUCUCUACAAAGGACACUGUCUAAAUUGUUUUGAAUGCCAGUACUCAUGGUUUUUAUAACGUAGUGAUAUAUUGUAGUGACUGUAUUUUCAAACGAUAGAUUAUGCUCCCAAAACUAUCCUUUACGUUUACACUAAGUAGAUGAUCUCCAUAAAGCUAGAGAGGCCAUCUGUACGAAGUCUAUGUUAAAUUGAUUACUAGAACAAUUUCAUUUUAACACCAUUCUUUUUCUUAAGGUAUAUACACCCCUCACAUGGCUCCAGGAGGAACUACUGAAGGUUAAUAGAAGCGAGACACCAUGGUUGAUUAUUUUAAUGCAUUCCCCGUGGUAUAACAGCUACAACUAUCACUAUAUGGAAGGAGAAACCAUGAGAGUGAUGAAUGAGCCAUGGUUUUCGAAGUACAGAGUUGACGUGGUAUUUGCUGGUCAUGUCCAUGCAUAUGAACGAUCUGUAAGUUCUUGAUAUACACGUCCGUAUCUAUUAAAGAGUAUAGUUUCUCAGUUAUUUGAUGUGGUGAUAUCUGCAUAGAACUGGACAUUAUACCUAAAAACUUUGUUACUAUUUUUAGUUUGUACGAGAAAGUUCUAAAUUCAAUGAAAUGACAAGCUUUAUCAAACAUUUUAAUCUUUUGAUAAAAUAUAGGAAAUCCAUUUAACGACGAGUAAACUGCAGAAAUAUCCCUCUCUGAUACACUCUCCUUUUACCAUCCUCCAUUCACAGUGAUGGUUCAAUAUGUCAGUACUUGAUAAGUGAUUUCUGUACAACACAGGAACGUGUAUCCAAUGUUGCAUACAACAUCGUCAAUGGCAUUUGCAAACCUGUGAAAGAUCAAUCUGCACCAGUGUACAUUACCAUUGGUGACGGAGGAAAUAUUGAAGGCUUAGCGACCAAGUAAGUAUAUCAGUAUGCUUGAUAUAUCGGUGUUUCAUGACUCAUCGUCCUUCUGUUUGUUAACACUGCAUGCAUAAUCUACAAACAUUUUCUUUUGUUGUGCAGUAUGACCGAACCACAGCCAGAUUACUCAGCUUAUAGAGAGGCCAGUUUUGGUCAUGCUACUUUCGACAUCAAGAAUCGAACACAUGCUUACUAUAGUUGGCACCGUAAUCAAGAUGGAUAUGCAGUAAAAGCCGAUUCGAUUUGGUUUUUCAACAGAUUCUAUCAUCCUGUAGAUGAUUCCACAACUGCCAAAUCAUGACAGGGCACUGUUAUUGUUGUUUUGAAUAAACUCCUCAGCAAAUAGAAGAUUCAAUACUUUCUUCAACCUUAUCUUUUGGACAGCAUAUUCAAGAUUCAAUACAUGCUUAAAGUUGAAACUUGAAUCUCAUUAUUUGAAUCUAAACCCAUCUGAACAGCAAGAUAAAAGCUGGUGCGAGUUACAAUCUGAAAUGAAAGAGAGUGAUCUGACAAGAGUGAAAAAACAGACUCAUUCUACUUAAACCAAAAACUAUUUUAAUUAUUUUCACAUUCACGAUUAUGUUUUCAUUCAUUCGUCUUUGUUUUUUUCACCUUUGUUCCACCACCCUUAUUUCUUCCUCUAUUCCCUCGUAUAGUUUUCUCACAUCUCAAAGAAAAAAAGUGAAAACUAAAAAUUGAAAACGAAAUAAUUAUUUAACGGCCACAAAUAUUUCAUAUUCAAGUGAUAAGAUUUUUUUUGCCAGCAAAAUUUAGUGGCGAGUUGAGCCCUACACAAGUUUUUCUCCUUUUACAAUAUUUACAUGUUUGAUUAAUUAGUAAUGUUACAUCUUGGGAUCCACUGGUGACACAAGAAAUUAAAUUUUUAUGAAACAAGAAGGUUGUAUAAACAUGUUGAAGGAGAAAUGUAUGUAUGUUACAAGCCACACAAAUGAGUGAUUUUACUAUUUAUGUGUUAUAAAUUAUAAUAGGUGUAGAAGAUGGAAUAUAAAUAAAGUAAUAUUAUCACGUGACGGAUGUACCGUACAUUCAUACUAUAUAAGAUUUUACAUGAAGAAGUUGAGAAAAAUAAACUAUUAUGUACUCAAAAUAUGCUUGAUUUGUGAUUGUCUUAAUCACCAAUUGAAUGGUUAAAUGGGAGGGUUUAUGCUUUCGUUUUUUCUUUUUUUUUUUGUUUGAUAAAAUUUAUGCUUUAGUUUUAUUGUUAAUGAUUGUUAAACAUGCCAAAUGGCGUUAAAAAGUACAGUGAUUGUAUAAAAGAAGCCACACUCAAA
rnacentral:lncRNA from 1 species